rnacentral:misc_RNA from 1 species
CCACGUAACGACCCGUCGUUCCUGUGGGCCUAGCCAGUGCGGUCGAGAGGGUGGCGCAGAGUUUAGGCAACUCUGCGUUUUCCUGAGGAGUGUCCUAGGUGACAUAGUGUCUGUCUGAUACUGUCUAAAUCGUCUGCAAUAGAAGGACUAAGGCCAAUGAGAUAUAGUGUAAUUAAUGAAUGUAAAUUCGUUUUUGUUAUCGAUUUAUAUUAAUAAAAAACGUACUAAAUUGAUAUAGUUAAGAUUUUUUUUUACCAACUAUAAUUUUUUUCAAAAUGUUGUAAUUUUUCGUACCAUUAAAAUAUAGAGUUUACUUAAUAACACUGUUAGGCAAAUUAAUGUUACUAAGGCUAGAUACAUAAUCGUGGUUGGAUACAAAUGUAAAAACAGUGUCGCGCGUUAAAAAAAAAACGUAAUAAAUAUAUGCGAAUGUAAUUAAAUUAAAGGAGCAUAUAAUAAGAGAAUAUUAAUUCUUUUUUAAAGCGACGAACUAAAUCACAGAGAGGUAAAUAUAUAUUUAAAAAAAGUUGGAUGGAGAUUGGAGAACAAAAUCAAAUUAAACUAAUGUAGCAAGUAAUUUAAUACAAGGGAACACAAUUUUAAGCUUAAUACAAAUUUGAAUGAACAAACAACUUUAUCUUCCUUUUUAUUGACUAAAUGAACGAGUUUAACACAACAAAAAAUUAUUUUAAAUCUACACUAUGGACCGAAAUACAUUUUUUGAUUAAUCUAAUAUUAAUUUAAGCUAGACUGUGGUUUCGAAUUAAUUCUGACACGUGGGUUGCUCGGUCAGAGAGGGAAGAAUCCCGAUGCUGAUUCGAAGAGGUUGAGCAGUUCUUUAUCGUAGAUGUUGGGGUCCUGGCAGCCAACUCACAAAAUCUUGCCACGUGGUAUCACCGGCAACAACGGCACCGCACGUAUCCGCCACGCCAAGGACCCUGGAAGGUCACACCAGAAAGUGAGUCCUUCCGUAGUCAACCCCUAACGUCUCUGGGUUGACACGGAAAUGGCCCAUAAAAACAAGCACAUCCUAACAUUUUACAAUAAUUUAAUUUAAUAAAACAAUAAACUUUAGAGCAAAUAAAAUUAAUCUAACACAAUCUACACACAUUUCGCAAUUAAAACAAAACUGAGCCUAAUCUAC